UUAUGCUUUCUUUCCCAGCGAAUCGGCAAAAUUCACACGAUGUAUUAACUCAGAAUGAUCUAAUUCACACAGAAGAAAAAUGAUCACACUGCACAUAAGAUAUGUGGGAAAAUGCUAAAAUCGGAAAGGCAAUUAUGUAAAAACCUGUUAACAUAAACAUUUGUUUAUGCAAGUGAAAUUCAUUUUUUAGAUUAUGUAAUAUCUGGCAACUAUUAACUACGACAUUCAUAAUCUAAGUGAAAUCAGGGUAGCAGGAUCUUGACUCCACAUGCUAUGAUGGCACGUGGAGCUUUUAUUGGAUCACAGAACCCACCAAGAAUCUGAUGAAAGCCAUGGAGAGUCUCUGCAGAAGAAAAGCACAUUCAUACAACAUUUUGCCUAGAUAUCCUGAGUCCAUUUGCCACAGGCUCCAGAGAGUCCAUGAACCACAGGUCAAGAGCCCCUGUGUGGGGAGAUGGCUCCAAGGGGAGGAACAGAAGAUCCCUUCCCACCACCAAGGCAGCCACCAGGGCAAGGCGACCAAAGGCUGACUGGGUAACAAACCCUCCAGCUGGAAGAGCCGGCAGUAAGCCUAGAUUGGGACCUGCUCUACCUCUAGGCCAGCAUGUGACGUCACAGCAUCCUUAGCGACACAUUCAGAAGGACCCUUGCUGUCACUGGAUGAUUCGGGAUUUAGCAUGUGAUUCUGACCCACAGUUUCUCACCGGUCCCUUCAGGUGGGUGCACCAGCACAUGCCCUCUGAUGGUUGCUUUUAAGAGUAUUUUUCUUUCUCCUUCUAUGGAAAACAUUCAAGUGUGCAUGAAAAAAACAGGAAGUCACAGACAAUUAAACAGGAUUAACCAACGGCGAAAUUUAAGACUUUGAGCACAGUCAUGGAAGUGAAGUGUCCUGCCAGGCUCUGUGCUGAGAGCUGGGACCCUGACAAUGGUCACGGCAGUCCUGCCUGGUGGACCUUCAAAAACCCCACACAAGCAGACAUUUUCUGCGCUGGAGGAGCACAUCCUUUGGGGCGAUGAUGAGAUUUGGGCAAUGCCCGCAUUCCCCAUGUCUCUGACCUCCGACAGGCACCUUGCACUAGUGGCCGCCGUGCGGAGAAGUCUUCACAGUGGCUAACGGUGAUUUCCUUUCCUUCCCCACUGAAAGCGCCAAUCCCUCCCCUGCUUUAUGUUUCUACCAGCACUGGUUGCCAUGUGGGAGCUGUCACCCAGGGAGGAGAACGGUGUGGUGGUUAAGAGCACGGAGCCUGGAGCCAGACUGUGGGGGUCUAAAUCCUGACUCCGUUGCUUAGGGCUCUGUGGCCUGGGCAAGUUACUCAACAACUCUGUGCCUCUGUGUCCGCUUCUCAAAAUGAGGAUGCUAACAGAACUAUCACUAUAGUGCUAUUGCCAUGGGGAUUAAAUGAGUGAAUACACAUGAAAUACUAAGAACAAUACUUGGCUCAUGCAAAAUGUUUGCUCUUAUUACGCCACACGGAAUAUAUUAUUACUAUAGGUUUACUAUUCAUACUAUAUAACUGUAUGUAUGGCUGUAUACCUUGCUACCACUACUAUAUCUUUACUAAUUUUUAUUGUUUUUUCUUCCCCCACUAGAAUGUCAGCUGCAAUGGGGUACAUUUUCUUACAGUUUUGUUCACUGUAGUAUCUACAGCACACAGACAAGUGAUUGUCAUUCAGUAGAAGGUUAAUACGUAUUUGCUGAAUGAA